CAGUAUGAAAUGGGGACAAGGCCAAUAGUUAUGUUAUUUCAUUGCUUUUUCCCAUUUUUCUGCUUUUCAGACCCGGGUUGUAGCAGUAACCCUCAGUGAGAUCUUGCACCGAGGACUCACCAUCCCCCAGGAGCUGAAAAGGACGGGACAGGACUGUGCCAAGCUCCAUCCUCUGUGGAUAGACCAUCAACAGGCACACCUUCGUUUGCUGGACACGGCCCGGUUGUGAUUCCUAUCCAGAAAAUCUAGUUUUCGGGAAGGUGGGAGGACACUUCCAGGGCAGUGGCUCCCUGAGCACCCCACAAACAGUAAGGCUUCUUCUCUUUAUAUUAAUUAAGCAAUUAUACGUGUUAAUUGUGCA
rnacentral:lncRNA from 1 species